GUCAUGUGACAGGAGUGGGCGGAGCUGAGCAGUGUAGAGAAGCUUGGUAAUGUCAAAGGUGACAUUACAGGAGGUUUCUUACAUUGGCCCUGAUUUACUAAGAGUGUUGUCUUUAUAGAUGCGACCAUCAUCUCCUUCUCCUGAAUGAUCCCCCAAGGAUGGACAAGGACAGGAAUGAGAUGACUAAGAGAAUAUUACACUUCACCUUGGAGAUCCUCCACCUGCUUACCGGAGAGAUGGAGUCAUUGAUAGAAAUCCACCCGAGAGGUGUCCCCGCCCUCUGUAUUCCCAGGACUGUCCAGAGGGAAAUGUCCCAGAGAACCAUCAGAUUCUCCUGGAAGCUGUGAUGUCACCGGAUGGGGCGGGGCCUAUAGAGGAAGGACUGUCUAAUAUAUUCUGACUGCAGACUGGAGCUCCACUCUGGACAGGAAACAUGUGACCUCCACUCAAAGUUUUUUUUUUUUUUUAACCAACUUUAUUGUAACAAACAAUAGACACAAUAAUUCUGAGACCUUUUUGCUGAUUUCUUCUUGUUAACCUCUUAAUGCCUCUUCCUGUUUGGUCCAUUUGUCUGAUUGGACCGGUUUCCCUUCAUGUGGUAAUAAUUCUGACACUUUUCCAGAUCCGAUCGAUUAUGAGAAGGUUUUUAUUUCGUGAUUUAUUGUACUUUAUAUCAGGGGUAAAUUUGGUUGAUACAUUUAUCGUUUUUUUGUGAUAAAAUCCAA